rnacentral:rRNA from 1 species
GAUGAACGCUGGCGGCGUGCUUAACACAUGCAAGUCGAACGGGAAACCUUUUAUUGAAGCUUCGGCAGAUUUAGAUUGUUUCUAGUGGCGGACGGGUGAGUAACGCGUGGGUAACCUGCCUUAUACAGGGGGAUAACAGUCAGAAAUGACUGCUAAUACCGCAUAAGCGCACAGAGCUGCAUGGCUCGGUGCGAAAAACUCCGGUGGUAUAAGAUGGACCCGCGUUGGAUUAGCUAGUUGGUGAGGUAACGGCCCACCAAGGCGACGAUCCAUAGCCGGCCUGAGAGGGUGAACGGCCACAUUGGGACUGAGACACGGCCCAGACUCCUACGGGAGGCAGCAGUGGGGAAUAUUGCACAAUGGGGGAAACCCUGAUGCAGCGACGCCGCGUGAAGGAAGAAGUAUCUCGGUAUGUAAACUUCUAUCAGCAGGGAAGAAAAUGACGGUACCUGACUAAGAAGCCCCGGCUAACUA